rnacentral:SRP_RNA from 2 species
GCCAGAUGUGGUGGCGCACACCUGUAGUCCCAGCUACUUGGAUGGCUGAGGCAGGAGGAUCACUUGAACCCAGGAGGUUGAGGCUGCAGUGAGCAGAGGUGGUGCCACUGCACUCCAGCCUGGGAGACAAAGUGAGACCCUGUCUCAA